AGAUUGGGAAGGGUCUUACUUGGUGACAGGAUCAUCUCCAAACUUCAUGAGCAUCCGGAUGGCUGUUGGUGCCGUGUAGAACUUGGUCACCUUGUAUUUGUCCACAAUGCUCCACAAGCGCCCUUCAUCUGGCUCUCAGCUCAAAUGCUACCUUCUUAGAAGACUCCCCUGAACAGUAGCUGACACCCCCAUCCCUCCUGUUGUUAUUAUUCAUCACACCUGGUUUAUUCCCUACAACACAUAUUUCCAGGGACAUCAAGGGGCCCAGGAACAAAGGAACCAGGCUUAGCUCUAGCAGUAAACUCAGUGGAGCAGACAGAUAGAGAACAGAUGAGCAAGCACACAGAAGCAGUGUUCAAGAGCAGUGAAGAAGUGGAUACCUGGGGUCGGAUGCACUUGGAUUUCUCUCUCAGCUUACCCUGUUAAGAGCCCAUGGAAUGGAAAGGCUGAUGAGCAGGGUCCAAGGAUAGAGCUGGGACAAAAAAAAAUUUGAAAAUCACUACCUUUGGACUUGAGGACAAGGCUCAGUGGUACAACCCUCGCCUGGCAUGGGAGAGGCCCUUGGCAAUCCAAGCCAGAAAAUGUGGGUUGUAGGGGGAGUGGGAAAUAAAGAGUCAUUUUUAAAAAGA
ensembl:antisense Acss2os acyl-CoA synthetase short-chain family member 2, opposite strand